rfam:Populus trichocarpa scaffold_207_contig_1, whole genome shotgun sequence.
UCUAGAACUCGAGAUAUGGGCUGAACACUGAACAGUGUCUAGGCUGCAGGACAGAUUCAGACUUCUUCGUUCUUGCUACAAUUUGGACUUGAAAACAGCCUUGUUAAAUCUUGGACUCCCAUGAAAGUUGUAGGCCUAUGUCUUACCUUUCCAUC